AUGUCCCUCGGGGGGCCCUGUUGGGGGGUACUCCGGGAGUAUGGGGUACCAGGCCCUCUGAUACGGGCUGUUAGGUCCCUGUAUGACCAAUGUCAGAGCUUGGUCCGCAUUGCCAGCAAUAACUCGGACUCGUGCCCAGUGAGAGUUGGACUCUGCCAAGGCUGCCCUUUGCCACCGAUUCUGUUCAUAACCUUUAUGGACAGGAUUUCUAGGCACAGCCAAGGUGUGGAGGGCAUCCGUUUUGGUGGCCUGAGGAUCAGUUCUCUGCUUUUUGUAGAUGAUGUGGUCCUGUUUGCUUCAUCAGAACGUGAUCUUCAGCUUUCGCUGGAGCGGUUCGCAGCAGAGUGUGAAGCAGCUGGGGUGAGAAUCAGCUCCUCUAAAUCUGAGACCAUGGUCUUGAUUCGGAAAAGGGUGGAAUGCCUUCUCCGGGUCAGGGAUGAGGUCCUGCCCCAAGUGGAGGAGUUUAUGUAUCUCGGGGUCUUGUUCACAAGUGAGGGAAAACUGGAGCGUGAGAUCGAUAGGUGGAUUGGUGCUGCAACUGCAGUGAUGCGGGCGUUGUACCGGUCUGUCGUGGUGAAGAGAGAGCUGAGUCAGAAGGCGAAGCUCUCGAUUUACCGGUCGAUCUGCGGUCCUACCCUCACCUAUGGUCAUGAGCUUUGGGUGGUGACCAAAAGAACGAGAUUGCGGAUACAAGCGGCCGAAAUGAGUUUUCUCCGAAGAGUGGCUGGGCUCUCCCUUAGAGAUAGGGUGAGAAGCUCGAUAUUCCGGGAGGGGCUCGGAGAAGACCCACUGCUCCUCCACAUUGAGAGGAGCCAGUUGAGGUGGCUCGGGCAUCUGGUCAGGAUGCCUCCUGGACGCUUCCCUGGUGAGGUUUUCCAGGCACGUCCAACUGGGAGGAGACCUAAAGGUAGACCCAGGACACGGUGGAGGGACUGUGUCUCUCACCUGACCAGGGUACGCCUUGGGAUUCCCCCGGAGGAGCUGGCCCAAGUGGCUGGGGAGAGGGAAGUCUGGGCCUCUCACCUUAGGCUACUGCCCCCGCGACCCGACUCCGGAUAA
rnacentral:lncRNA from 1 species